rnacentral:rRNA from 1 species
UUAAGUCGACCGCCUGGGGAGUACGGCCGCAAGGUUAAAACUCAAAUGAAUUGACGGGGGCCCGCACAAGCGGUGGAGCAUGUGGUUUAAUUCGAUGCAACGCGAAGAACCUUACCUGGUCUUGACAUCCACGGAAGUUUUCAGAGAUGAGAAUGUGCCUUCGGGAACCGUGAGACAGGUGCUGCAUGGCUGUCGUCAGCUCGUGUUGUGAAAUGUUGGGUUAAGUCCCGCAACGAGCGCAACCCUUAUCCUUUGUUGCCAGCGGUCCGGCCGGGAACUCAAAGGAGACUGCCAGUGAUAAACUGGAGGAAGGUGGGGAUGACGUCAAGUCAUCAUGGCCCUUACGACCAGGGCUACACACGUGCUACAAUGGCGCAUACAAAGAGAAGCGACCUCGCGAGAGCAAGCGGACCUCAUAAAGUGCGUCGUAGUCCGGAUUGGAGUCUGCAACUCGACUCCAUGAAGUCGGAAUCGCU